UUGGGGCCUACUCAUUUGUGCCAUGGCUAGCUACUGAAUUUAGGUUGGGGCCUACUCAUUUGUGCCAUGGCUAGCUACUGAAUUUAGGUUGGGGCCACCUCAUUUGUGCCAUGGCUAGCUACUGAAUUUAGGUUGGGGCCUACUCAUUUGUGCCAUGGCUAGCUACUGAAUUUAGGUUGGGGCCUACUCAUUUGUGCCAUGGCUAGCUACUGAAUUUAGGUUGGGGCCUACUCAUUUGUGCCAUGGCUAGCUACUGAAUUUAGGUUGGGGCCUACUCAUUUGUGCCAUGGCUAGCUACUGAAUUUAGGUUGGGGCCUACUCAUUUGUGCCAUGGCUAGCUACUGAAUUUAGGUUGGGGCCUACUCAUUUGUGCCAUGGCUAGCUACUGAAUUUAGGUUGGGGCCUACUCAUUUGUGCCAUGGCUAGCUACUGAAUUUAGGUUGGGGCCUACUCAUUUGUGCCAUGGCUAGCUACUGAAUUUAGGUUGGGGCCUACUCAUUUGUGCCAUGGCUAGCUACUGAAUUUAGGUUGGGGCCUACUCAUUUGUGCCAUGGCUAGCUACUGAAUUUAGGUUGGGGCCUACUCAUUUGUGCCAUGGCUAGCUACUGAAUUUAGGUUGGGGCCUACUCAUUUGUGCCAUGGCUAGCUACUGAAUUUAGGUUGGGGCCUACUCAUUUGUGCCAUGGCUAGCUACUGAAUUUAGGUUGGGGCCUACUCAUUUGUGCCA